UACAGAGGUGUCAAACGUUGUCCGGAAUUACUGGGCGUAAAGGGCGCGUAGGCGGUUGGAUAAGUCAGAUGUGAAAUCACCGGGCUCAACCCGGUAAUUGCAUUUGAAACUGUCUAACUUGAGUUGGGUAGAGGAGGGCGGAAUUCCUGGUGUAGCGGUGAAAUGCGUAGAUAUCAGGAGGAACACCUGUGGCGAAGGCGGCUCUCUGGUCCCAUACUGACGCUGAGGCGCGAAAGCUAGGGUAGCAAACAGG
rnacentral:rRNA from 1 species